UACGAAGGGGGCUAGCGUUGCUCGGAAUCACUGGGCGUAAAGCGCACGUAGGCGGACUCUUAAGUCGGUGGUGAAAUCCUGGAGCUCAACUCCAGAACUGCCUUCGAUACUGGGAGUCUCGAGUUCGGGAGAGGUGAGUGGAACUGCGAGUGUAGAGGUGAAAUUCGUAGAUAUUCGCAAGAACACCAGUGGCGGAAGGCGGCUCACUGGCCCGAUACUGACGCUGAGG
rnacentral:rRNA from 1 species